CAGAGUGCUAGGAUUACAGGCAUGAGCCACCGCGCCCGGCUGAGAACUCUUUUAAGACCAUGAACAGAGGAUCCACUUCUGUGCUUCACACAGACUCAGGGCUUUUCCCACUUCCUUUGGAGUGAAAUCCAAACACUCUGCCCUGGCCCACAAAGCUGUACCUGAUCUUGUCCCAGCCUACCUGUCCCCCAGCCUGCCUGUCACCAUCCACUGGUCUUUUUCUCUGUUCUUUGAACACACGAGAUUGUUCCUGCAUCGGGGCCUCAUACUUUGAUGUUAGUGCUCUCUGGAUCCUUCUGAUAAUCUAGGUCUCAAUUCAAAGGCUUUCCCUCACACCACCCUAUGAAAAUACCCCCCUACCCCCAGCUCCUCUCUGACCCUGCUUAAUUUUCUUAUAGCUUUUAUCACUGUCUGAAACGAUCUUGUUUAUUUGGGCAUUUGUACAUGGUUUUCUCUCCUCCCUGCCCACUAGAAGGUCAACUUCUUGCAGGCAGGAAAGGAAACUAGUAGGUGUUAAAUAAAUCUUAGUUGAGUCGGUGGUUUCUGGUGUCUUGGUGAAGAGCUGCAGGUCUGAUCAAACCCCAGCUUUGUCACUUGCUCUCUGGUGGCCGUAAAUGCAUCAUGUUCCCUUUCAGCUAGUUGUCUCAUCUGUGAGAUACGGAUACUGGUAGCAGGUACCUCCCAGGGUUGUCAUGAGGAUUGAAUGAGCUCACACAUGCAUACUUGGCUUACUUCCUGGACAUAGCAAAAUGUCAUAGACGUUAGCUGUGACUGAGGCUGUUGACAUUACUACUUCUACAGCUAUUGCUGCUGCCCUCCCUGUUCGCACUCUUAAAAGACACACGCGGUAGAGGAGCAAGAUGGCACCGGCGUUUCCAUGGUAACACCGUGCUUACGUGGUACAUGCCAGCCGCUAUUCUAAGGCUUCACGGAUGUCAUCGCCUUUAAUCCUCACAAGCACCCUAUAAGGUAAAUACGUCCACUAGCCACACUGUAUAGUCUCUGCAUUCACUCACUACCGCUGGCUGAGUUGGACAGAGAGGAAGAAACGAAGCAGAAAUGUCCCGGGCUCCUCGCUGCCUUGCCCAGCACCGAAGACAGGUGCGGGGGUAGAGGGGGGUCAGGGAGUUUUGACCUUUCCUGCCACCUGCACCCUAGAGCUGGAGCACCCAGGGGGCCUCCCGUCAUCCUCUCCUUUCUCCAAGUUACAGAAGUAAAACUAAACCAGGGCGGGCACCUGGAAAGCAGGAAAGCUGCCCACGUUCCAUGGCCUGACGCCGUCCCUUCCACCCUGUCCUGCACGUGCUCGCCCUCACGUUGGUGGCUGCAGUCGUGAGUUUGUCCCUUCACAUGCUGCUGUGACACUUACCCUGAGCGUCUCCCCACCUGCCAUCCUCCUUAACUGUGUCCUCAGGUCUUUGGCGAGUCAGGUCUCUAUGGCCCUUAGAGCUACCCCCCUGCCCCCGUUCUCCUCCCCCUCCCAUCCGAGGGUCCCCUUGCCUUUUCUGUGCCCGCUGCUGUGACACGCUCCACUUGUUCGAGACCCGCGCCCUUCGAGACUGGCUUUGCGAUAGGAAUCAGGCUCCUCAGCCCCUCGUGGCCUCUAAGAUCAAUCCAAGUCCCGUCUGUUCCGAGAGGCCUUGUUUGAGCGGCACAGGGAAGCAGGCGCCCCCGUCCUGAAUCACACAGGGGACCCCGACCAAUUGUAGACACCCACGUGCAGGUCACUGCCCAGGCCUUUGGUGCUGCCUGGCUUCUCCCCUGCCUUUAGUAAGGGUGGCCCUCGCUGUGGGCUCACGACCUGUGGUCACCCUGCCCGCCGGGAGGAAGGCAUCUGUAUGGGUCCCUGCCCAGGCUUCCUGCGGAAAGGGAGCCCCAGACGACGUCUGGACUGCCGGCCCCAGGGCUGUGCUCCUGAUGACGUUUCUGUCUGUCCUCUGCUGAGGGCUGAGCCGCGCCCCGCCCCCACGUCCCAUGUUGAAGUCCUGACGCCCAGAACCUCCGAAGGUGACUGUAUUUGGACAUAGGGCCUUUAAACAGCCCUCAGGACUGAGAGACGAUGAUUUCAUCGUGUAAGCCACAGUACUCUGUUACAGCAGCCUUGGGGGACCAGUACACCUUUUUCCAUCUGUCUUGUACCACCUGCCUGCCUCCUUACCACGGAUGCUCUCAGAAGCCACGCUCCGUGCCAGGCACCAUCGUGGUUCUUCCUGUGUCUUCUGUUUGCCAACUGCAGAUCUUGGGACAUGUGAGCCUUCAUAAUCACGCAAGUCAAUUCCUUAUAAUAAACCUCUUCCUGUGCACACACACCCUAUUGGUUCUGUUUCUCUGGAAAACCCUGACUAAUACGGUGAGCUCUAAGAGAAAGGAAACGGGGCCUCUUUUUGCUCAUUGCUGCAUCCCCACAGUCUGAUACAGUACCUGACAUA